GACGAACGCUGGCGACGUGCUUAACACAUGCAAGUCGUACGGUAAGGCCCUUUCGUGGGUACACGAGUGGCGAACGGGUGAGUAACACGUGAGUAACCUGCCCACAACUUUGGGAUAACGCUAGGAAACUGGUGCUAAUACUGGAUAUGUGCUCCUGCUGCAUGGUGGGGGUUGGAAAGCUCCGGCGGUUGUGGAUGGACUCGCGGCCUAUCAGCUUGUUGGUGGGGUAGUGGCCUACCAAGGCGGCGACGGGUAGCCGGCCUGAGAGGGUGACCGGCCACAUUGGGACUGAGAUACGGCCCAGACUCCUACGGGAGGCAGCAGUGGGGAAUAUUGCACAAUGGGCGCAAGCCUGAUGCAGCAACGCCGCGUGCGGGAUGACGGCCUUCGGGUUGUAAACCGCUUUCAGCAGGGACGAAGCUUUUUGUGACGGUACCUGCAGAAGAAGCACCGGCUAACUACGUG
rnacentral:rRNA from 1 species